GGCGUAAGCGUGCGCAGGCGGCUUUUUAAGCCAGAUGUGAAAUCCCCGGGCUUAACCUGGGAACUGCAUUUGGAACUGGAAGGCUAGAGUGCGUCAGAGGGGGGUGGAAUUCCACGUGUAGCAGUGAAAUGCGUAGAGAUGUGGAGGAACACCGAUGGCGAAGGCAGCCCCCUGGGAUGACACUGACGCUCAUGCACGAAAGCGUGGGGAGCAAACAGGAUUAGAUACCCUGGUAGUCCACGCCCUAAACGAUGUCAACUGGUUGUUGGGGGAGUGAAAUCCUUCAGUAACGAAGCUAACGCGUGAAGUUGACCGCCUGGGGAGUACGGUCGCAAGAUUAAAACUCAAAGGAAUUGACGGGGACCCGCACAAGCGGUGGAUGAUGUGGAUUAAUUCGAUGCAACGCGAAGAACCUUACCUACCCUUGACAUGUCCGGAACUUGCCAGAGAUGGCUUGGUGCCCGAAAGGGAACCGGAACACAGGUGCUGCAUGGCUGUCGUCAGCUCGUGUCGUGAGAUGUUGGGUUAAGUCCCGCAACGAGCGCAACCCUUGUCCUUAGUUGCUACGCAAGAGCACUCUAAGGAGACUGCCGGUGACAAACCGGAGGAAGGUGGGGAUGACGUCAAGUCCUCAUGGCCCUUAUGGGUAGGGCUUCACACGUCAUACAAUGGUCGGUACAGAGGGUUGCCAAGCCGCGAGGUGGAGCCAAUCCCACAAAGCCGAUCGUAGUCCGGAUUGUUCUCUGCAACUCGAGAGCAUGAAGUCGGAAUCGCUAGUAAUCGCAGGUCAGCAUACUGCGGUGAAUACGUUCCCGGGUCUUGUACACACCGCCCGUCACACCAUGGGAGUGGGUUGCUCCAGAAGUAGUUA
rnacentral:rRNA from 1 species